rnacentral:sRNA from 1 species
CCACAGUUAAUCAGUGAAUUCCUCACAUGUCCACAUGCUCCUAUGGGGAGUUGCUGAGUCAGCCCAGACCGGAAGGAGUGGCAGAGAUCAUUUGCCCCAAGAACGGCAGCGAGCGAGUGAAUGUUGCCUUGGUUUACCCACCCACGCCGACUGUGAUCAGCCCCUGUUCCAAGAAGAAUGUUGGUGAAAAGCACAGAAACCAGUGACAUUUGUGGCUGUGGAAUUUCCAUGGAGAAAAGAGAGCAUCUGAACACCUGGACCAUCUUUUGCACCUGGCAGACCCUCUGCACUCACCCCAGCGUGUUCUGUGAACUUGAGUGACAACGCGUGCUUGCAGGGUGCUUUUUGGAAGACUGGGGAAGAGGUGGGGAGGGGGUGGUGGGGGGAAGCAUGGACGAGAACAUGGAGCAAAUGUUUUACAACCUGAACCUCAGAACUGUGAUC